rnacentral:rRNA from 1 species
UGGGGAAUAUUGGACAAUGGGCGCAAGCCUGAUCCAGCCAUGCCGCGUGAGUGAAGAAGGCCCUAGGGUUGUAAAGCUCUUUCACCCGUGAAGAUGAUGACGGUAGCGGGAGAAGAAGCCCCGGCUAACUCCGUGCCAGCAGCCGCGGUAAUACGGAGGGGGCAAGCGUUGUUCGGAAUUACUGGGCGUAAAGGGCGCGUAGGCGGAGCGACAAGUCAGGGGUGAAAGGCCUGGGCUCAACCCGGGAACUGCCUUUGAAACUGUCGGUCUUGAGUCCGGGAGAGGAUGGCGGAAUUCCCAGUGUAGAGGUGAAAUUCGUAGAUAUUGGGUGGAACACCGGUGGCGAAAGCGGCUCUCUGGCCCGGUUCUGACGCUGAGGCGCGAAAGCGUGGGGAGCAAACAGGAUUAGAUACCCGUGUAGUCC